UGUAAUCUUUAGAUUGUGGUUGGUUCGUGGAAUGUAGUGGGAAAGUGAUGGGAAUGUCAUUCCCACAUAAAUUUUCAUGUCUAAAUUAAACAUGAAAAUUUAGGUGGGAAUGACAUUCCCAUCAUUUUCCCACUACAUUCCACGAACCAAACCCAACCUUAGGUUUAUU
rnacentral:pre_miRNA from 1 species